CGGCCUUGGCGUCCGUUACCUUGGUGGUUGCUGUGGCUUUGAGCCAUACCAUAUUAGAGCAUUAGCUGAAGAGCUAGCAGAGGAAAGAGGGUUUCGUCCCCCAGGUAGCGACAUGCAUGAAGGAUUUGAUGCACUCAAAUUAAGCAUAUCGUCUGAUCAAUGGAAACGAGCUAAUCCUAAAUAUUGGUCGGAGUUGAAACCUGCAACAGGCAGAGCAGACACCAUCAACUUUGCUACAACAGAACCACCUGAGGAGCAGUGAACAUGGAACAUAUUAAAUUAUCAUAGAUUUAAUUUUUAAAAACAUGCAAACAUCCCCAAAACAAAUGAACCAAUGUAAAAUUGAUUAAAUUAAAACAUUCAAAAAUUAUAGAUAGAGUACAGAGAGUAUAGAGUACAGAAUACAUACACAUAAAUAUAUGUAAUCUUUGAAAAUGUGAUGUUCAGUGCUCCAUUGGCUAGCAGUAAUAUCCAGGGCCGCAGCCAGGAUUGCCAUUAGUUGAGGGGAGGGUGAUGGUAAUGGGGAUGGGAAUGUGCCAAGGUGGACAAGCUAGGUUCAUGCAGAAGAGAAUAGAUUCUGGCCUCAUGAUAGAUUACUAGUUAAAAUUUUCAGAUUUGUGAUUUUUUCCAAUUUUUGGUUGGGUAUGGGUCUGUAUGAACCUGCUCUUGUACAAAUACAGCUGUUAUAAAGAUCCAUAGUUUGAAAAUAUUGCUUAGCAUGGUGUGUUCUUAUAAACAUGGCAUCCAUAAAAUAUAAGAAUGAUAUAUACUGUACAUAAACCGGUAUAUACAGUACUGAACAUAUGAGGCUUGCUUUCCCCAAACCAGCGUAUCGUCACUAAAUGUUAAACUGAGUAAUUAGCAUUAGAAUGUGACAGUAUUGUAUACAAAUAAAUAGUAUAUGUACAGGGAAGCUGUCAUACUUUAUUCAUAACUUUGGCAAUAGAAAAUUGAUUCCAGUAAAUGACUUACAGUAUAAUGUUGGAAAUAUGAAUAUAUUAAAAUGUCACUUUGUUUUGGUCACUGAUGCUGGUACAUACAUAUGUAUAAACAAUUAUAGUUAUUAUAUUCAUGGGUACGUUGAUAAGCCAAUGUACCCAUGAAUAUGCUAUGGUUAUUUUUUUUAAACAAAUAUAUUUGUUAAAACCAAAUGAAUUAUUAUUAUGUAUUUUCAAACUCUGCAUAGAGAAAAACAACUUUUUAAUAGUCAAGGCAGAAGAUGUACACAAUUUUAAUUUAUCAAGCUGUGCUCUUAUAGUAUACUACUGUGAUAAAAUAUUAGAAAAAAGACAGACUUUUUUUUUAGUACGGUAAUCAUAAUUUAUUUUGGCAAAGUAAAUAUACUGUCUUACCAGAGCAAGUGGAAGUGGUUUAGCAUUCAAAACAUCCCUGUGCAUUUUGCUGCUGUCCUUGGGAAAGGCACUUUAUCUGCGUUGCUUGUCUCCACCCAGAAGUGUGUUUUAGUAAAUAAAUUAUUAAUUUAUGAAAUAUGUAAACUCA